UUUAGAACGUCGUGAGACAGUUCGGUCCCUAUCUGCCGUGGGCGCUGGAGAACUGAGGGGGGCUGCUCCUAGUACGAGAGGACCGGAGUGGACGCAUCACUGGUGUUCGGGUUGUCAUGCCAAUGGCACUGCCCGGUAGCUAAAUGCGGAAGAGAUAAGUGCUGAAAGCAUCUAAGCACGAAACUUGCCCCGAGAUGAGUUCUCCCUGACUCCUUGAGAGUCCUGAAGGAACGUUGAAGACGACGACGUUGAUAGGCCGGGUGUGUAAGCGCAGCGAUGCGUUGAGCUAACCGGUACUAAUGAACCGUGAGGCUUAACCUUACAACGCCGAAG
rnacentral:rRNA from 1 species